CACCGUGCAUCAUGUUUUGCCCCGCAUCACCGCGCCCGCAACCCCCCCGAUCUCCGUCGUCUCCCCCCUCUGGCGUGUGUUAAACCGACGUGACGGCUGUCAUCCGCGUGCGGCAACCGUGCUCAUACAUCACUGUGUCGCCCCCACCCCCCUCGCCGCAUGAUGCCCGCAACGUCCGUGGCCGUCGCGCCCGCCCCUCCCCCCACCUCGAGAGCGGCACCCGGCAACCACCCCACUGUCAAGAUCACCGUGUCCAUAUAAGGAUGGAUCCCCUCACCCGAGAACCACUCACGUCGAGACUAACGCAUCCCAAGCCAGAUAAGGAUGGAUCCCCUCACAUCUCCGAUUAUUUCGCCGUCCAAACACAUGAUUUCCUGGUUCACCCUCCUCCCCUUUGGCGUCCUCCAGAUCUUGCCUUCGCCCGCAUCGACGUAGGCGACGGGGGCAUGACAGGUCGGUUGGUGGAGCGGGGCUAGAGGCCAUCGAUGGUGGUUGUGGCGACGUGCUGCUGGGAAGACGAGGCAACUCUCUCCUCCAGCACACCCUGUGGUGGAGACUUGCCAUACAUAUGACGCAGCUGAAGCUGCAGAGGGCGCGCCUGUGCCGACGACGGAAGCAAAGAAGCUGGCGUCCUCUGUCACGAGGUCCAAGCAGGAGAUCACAGAGGACUUCUCGUCGAUUGGCGGGACAUGGCCCCCACGGCCGCCCAAGAAGAGACCAGGUGCAACGACAACUCAAUAUCACAAAGAAGAUCCGAAAGGCGAGAGGAUUUCAUUUCCCGGAUCGACUUACUUCUACCCUCCGGUUGUUUGUGGACAGUAUUUUGGUGCUGGUUUUGUUAUCAUGUGUUGUGUUUGUUUUAUUUUAACAUCACUCCAGAUUUGAUGAAUCUUAGCUCGGCUUCUGCACGAUGCUAACCCUAGGCUCGUCAGGUUUUUUUAAGAAGGAAGCCCCAAUUCCUGUGCUAGAUCCACCAUGCCAUUCAAUGUUGCAGAUCAUGACGAAUCUUGUGAUUGGUUUGUGUCAAAGCAAUGGAUACACAUAUAUUCGCAUUGCAUCAUUUCUAUGGUUUGUUGUCUCAUUUGAUCGAUUGACGACAGUGAUUAUACAUUACCAGUUCUUUUGAUGUAUCCUAUGAUGGAAAGGGAAAAUUAAUGGUUGAAUUUCUUAAUAUGAGUAGGAGGUGAAGGAUGAGGAAGAAAAAGGGGAGGAGUUGCCUCCAGAUGUUGAGACUUUGACCACAACAAUUGAAUAAACAUGUGAUUAUCAUGAACUAUUAUGUGUGCUACCAUUUCCUUUUGUGCUUUUCUAAUUACUAGCGGGAAUGUUUAGCUUCUACAAAAAUAAUAGGAAUGAGUUUCUGUACACCGGUGGCUAUGUUUGAAUUGUUAAUAGUGAGACUGAGAGAGUGGUAUGGUUAGGAUGUUAGAUUUGUGCUUCCAGUGAUUGAUUAGUAUCUUUUUUGGUAGCUGGUAUGUGUUAGUUUUACCAUAAGCUAAAAGUUUAAGUAGAAUGAAGUGGAUGUGUUGUGCCAAAUUAAAUGAAUUUUCAUAUGCUCCUACCCAGGCUCUGCUUUGUGUGUUUUGAACUCCUUUGUGAUGUUGAACAAUUGUGCUUAUUAGUUGGUAAUUUACUGAUAUUCCAUUGUCAGUCCAUUAUAUUGUUGUUUAAUAGAAUAUUUGUGUGUGUCUCAUUGGAUAUUGAGUUAUUGACAGAUAUGUUUUCCAUACCAAAACAAUGUUCUUAAACAUGCAUUUCAGGAUGAGUGAUUGGAAAAUGUUCGGAUUCUUUUGCAAGAUCAAAGUUUCUAUGCACUUAAUCAGCUUGUGGAUUUCAUCAUCUUGGUCGGCAAGUUUGUACGACAAAGGCGACCCGGAGUCACCGUCCCUUGAAAGCGCCCCACUUCCGGAUGAUGAUAGGUUGCGCAUUGCCAGCGAGUUUAGAAUUGUGCCACAUGGUGAUGGGGGCCAUUAUCUCCUUGUCGCCCUCUGUGACAAAGUGAAAUUGAAGGAUUACAUGUUUCACAUCUUCUUUAUGUUGAAAUUGUCUUGUAUGUUGUUUAGACCUUUUAAAGGCAACAUGCCACACAUAUCUUUGUUUUGGUGUUCAGAGCUACAUAUGGUACUCUUCAUGGUUUCUGUUGCGAGUAACAGGGAUAUCAGGUUUUUGUACUUA